rnacentral:rRNA from 1 species
UACGGAGGGGACUAGCGUUGUUCGGAAUUACUGGGCGUAAAGGGCGCGUAGACGGCUUUGCAAGUGACGGGUGAAAUCCCUCGGCUUAACCGAGGAACUGCCUGUCAAACUGCAUGGCUUGAGACCAGGAGAGGUGAGUGGAAUUCCCAGUGUAGCGGUGAAAUGCGUAGAUAUUGGGAGGAACACCAGUGGCGAAGGCGGCUCACUGGACUGGUACUGACGCUGAUGCGCGAAAGCGUGGGGAGCAAACAGG